rnacentral:rRNA from 1 species
GACGAACGCUGGCGGCGCGCUUAACACAUGCAAGUCGAACGGAAAGGCCCUGCUUUUGUGGGGUGCUCGAGUGGCGAACGGGUGAGUAACACGUGAGUAACCUGCCCUUGACUUUGGGAUAACUUCAGGAAACUGGGGCUAAUACCGGAUAGGAGCUCCUGCUGCAUGGCGGGGGUUGGAAAGUUUCGGCGGUUGGGGAUGGACUCGCGGCUUAUCAGCUUGUUGGUGGGGUAGUGGCUUACCAAGGCUUUGACGGGUAGCCGGCCUGAGAGGGUGACCGGCCACAUUGGGACUGAGAUACGGCCCAGACUCCUACGGGAGGCAGCAGUGGGGAAUAUUGCACAAUGGGCGGAAGCCUGAUGCAGCAACGCCGCGUGCGGGAUGACGGCCUUCGGGUUGUAAACCGCUUUCGCCUGUGACGAAGCGUGAGUGACGGUAAUGGGUAAAGAAGCACCGGCUAACUACGUG